rnacentral:rRNA from 1 species
GACAGAGGUGCCGAGCGUUAGGCGGAAUCACUGGGCUUAAAGCGUGUGUAGGCGGGGCGUUAAGUGUCUUGUGAAAUCCCACGGCUCACCCGUGGAACUGCUGGACAUACUGGCGCUCUUGAGCCACUUAGGGGCAACUGGAACAAACGGUGGAGCGGUGAAAUGCGUAGAUAUCGUUUGGAACGCCAAUGGUGAAAACAGGUUGCU